GCGCUGGAGAAAGAGGUAAGUUUAACCCCUUCCACCCCCUAGAGCCCGGGGGAGGGGGACCCUGAGGAUGGGGGCACUCUCAGGGCACUAUAGUGCCAGGAAAAUGAGUAUGUUUUCCUGGCACUACAGUGGUCCUUUAAUGUGUGCACAUUUAAACUUUCCCAUAGGAUAGCAGUGAAUCAAUGAUUUCCUUUCGGAGCUUGCAUAUCACGUGAUUUAGUUUUACUAGUCAGUACAGUAGAAGCAUCUCUAGUGGAUGUCAUACUGAGAGCGACAAGGUAGAUUUAACCACGCAAUGCAAACAUUGGGGAUUCUGAAAAACUGCAAUGUUUUACACUGCAGGAUAAAAUGAGAGGACAUAAAAUGACAAAAUAUCCACUAAACAACAAAUGUGCAAAAUAUGGAAAAAAGCUACUUAGCUUUCUUCCAUUUCUCCUCUCCAAGGCUGUUUUUGGUUUUUCAAUUGCCGCCGUGUUCUUAAUCAAUAUCUGGCUU